rnacentral:rRNA from 1 species
AUACAUGCAGUCGAACGCUUCUUUCCUCCCGAGUGCUUGCACUCAAUUGGAAAGAGGAGUGGCGGACGGGUGAGUAACACGUGGGUAACCUACCCAUCAGAGGGGGAUAACACUUGGAAACAGGUGCUAAUACCGCAUAACAGUUUAUGCCGCAUGGCAUAAGAGUGAAAGGCGCUUUCGGGUGUCGCUGAUGGAUGGACCCGCGGUGCAUUAGCUAGUUGGUGAGGUAACGGCUCACCAAGGCCACGAUGCAUAGCCGACCUGAGAGGGUGAUCGGCCACACUGGGACUGAGACACGGCCCAGACUCCUACGGGAGGCAGCAGUAGGGAAUCUUCGGCAAUGGACGAAAGUCUGACCGAGCAACGCCGCGUGAGUGAAGAAGGUUUUCGGAUCGUAAAACUCUGUUGUUAGAGAAGAACAAGGACGUUAGUAACUGAACGUCCCCUGACGGUAUCUAACCAGAAAGCCACGGCUAACUACGUGCCAGCAGCCGCGGUAAUACGUAGGUGGC